rnacentral:lncRNA from 1 species
AAUCUUUCCUUGCAGCCCCAGGCCUCAUGGAGGACAGAUGGGGGCUAGGAGGGUCAAGGGUGAUGGAUCGGGGUGCCAGGGAAAGUGGGGUAACCAGCUGAGAAGGGGAUUGGCCGCACCAGUAUAGACCUUCAUGCAGUCUGUAGAUGAAUUUCUUUCAAGGUGUGGGGGGCAGGUAGGGUACAGGAUUACAGGGAGCCAAAGGAGAAAAAGCAAAUAUGAUCCGUGUCAUUUAUUUUUGCCCAAGUUCCAGCUGGGUAGCAGCCAAGAAGUUCACAGAGGGCUUCGGACUUGCUCCUUCACAUCAGAACCCGUUUAUCUCCUCGUGGUGUACAAAGGAAUGAGGAAGAGGAGGAGAACAAGGAAAGAGAGGAAGAAAGAGAAAGGGAGAGGAGGAAGAAGAAGGUGUUUCAGCUGUGAAUGUAGGAGAAGCGCUUCUUUAUACCUGCCAUCUCAGUGCCAAGAAUUCGAAGCUCAGUUGCUCGGCCCCAAAGGACCAGACGGAGGGAAACCUGAGUUUUGAAGAUCAAGCCCAGCACCAUCUCUCUGGAGCCACUACCCACUUAGAUGCCCAUUUGGCAGUUAUGGCUUCUUGGUCUUGGACACAGUUGUGCUCCACACCUGGGCCUUAAAACCUUUAGUUCAACCACGUGCUCAGCCAUUUUUUCCAGAAUGAUGCUCUGGCAGAAGAGUUAGAUUUAGGAAAGCC